rnacentral:ncRNA from 1 species
ACUCAGGCACGAUCUUUGCAGUAAGAAGCGACCUGAAGUUUCAAUCCUGAGGGA